CCCUUAGAUGUUCUGGGCCGCACGCGCGCUACACUGAUGCAUUCAACGAGCACCCGCUGGGCCGAGAGGUCCGGCUAAUCUUUGAACGUGCAUCGUGCUGGGGAUAGAUGAUUGCAAUUAUUCAUCUUCAACGAGGAAUUCCUAGUAAACGCAAGUCAUCAGCUUGCAUUGAUUACGUCCCUGCCCUUUGUACACACCGCCCGUCGCACCUACCGAUUGAAUGGUCCGGUGAAAUUCUCGGACGCGGACUUGCGCUGUUAAUUCGGAGCUUGACUGUGAAAGUUAAUUAAACCUUACCAUUUAGAGGAAGGUGAAGUCGUAACA
rnacentral:rRNA from 1 species